GCAGGCAGCCCCUUUUUAGCACCGCCACGGGCACGCGAGCCUAGCCCUUAAAAUCCCAGCCCAGCCCUGGAUUUGCAGAUACUCAGGGCAGGGGAAGGCGCCUUUCCGCGUUUGGUGUAGUCCCGCAUGCUGCCAUAAGAUGGCACCAGAGAACGCGCCUACCGGGAUAGGGCAGGGCAAGGAGGCGGGAAAGAAAAAAAAGCGACGAGUGAAGAUUGACAUCCAUUAAGUUCAAUCUUUGGUUCUCUGACUUCCAAGCUUCCCAUUCUCUUAGGAGGCUGCAUUUGUGGCGCUAAAAGCAGGGAUGGGCGUGGGAGAUGCCGGGACAUGUGCUCGCUGAAGAUACACCUGUUAUUCCAAGUUGAAGAUGAAUCUAAAUGGUGGUUCAAGUAUGUCCUUUGUUCACCGUAGUGGACCAUCGUGGGAGCUUCGUGGAGUGCUUCCUCAGACUGCAACUCUACCCCCGUGCACAAGAAAAAUGAAACAAAGGGGGUAGAACACAAACAUCCCUGUGAAUUUUCAAACGCCAAAUUUUAUAACUCCUACAACGUUACUGCUUACUACCAGUUCUUUCUGACCCAGUGAGAUGUAAGAGGCCUUUAACUGGAUCCAAGCCGGUUAAUUCCAAGACCACAUCCGUUCCUAGACCCAGUCCAUUUUACGUUGUGACUCCAAACCCAGUUUGGAUCAGAAAUUUGCUCAAAGCAACUCAGAGAGCUCAAAACACAAAUGUGUGAAGCUCCAAAAUGCGAGAGGGAGCUUACUUAUGAUCCUCAGCCACUCUGAGAGAUCAAUGGACACAGUGGAUCAUGCCGGUACCUUUCGUGUUUACUCAGUGCUCCUGGAGAUACUGGAAGCUCCACUUCAGAUCCUGCUUCUGACACCAUCUGAUAAGAGAAAAACUUCAGCUGAAUUAAAUUUAAAGGCGUUUAAUUGAGCAAUGAACAAUUUGUGAAUCAGGCGGCUUUCAGAAUCACAGCAGAUUCACAGAGGCUCUGGGGGUUGCCUCGAAGUAAAAACCAAUUUAUAGACCAAAAAAAAAAAGGUAUAGUGACAUACAGGAACCGGAAGUGGGAUACAGAAACAGUGAGAUUGGUUACAACUGGUCGUUUGCCUUAUUUGAACAGUUUGAACAGUCAGCAGUCUGUGAGUGGUUGAAGUAUGGCUGCUGGGAUUGGCCAACACUCAAGUAUUGUUAGAGGUGCACACUACUAGAUUAGGUUUUCAAUCUUGUCUGAUUAUUAAGGUAGGUUACAGUUCACCCACAAGGACUCAAAUGAAGAAGUACAGAGUCCUUCUCAGGCCAUAUUUAGUUUGCUUUAACACUUUGUAGCAAAAUUCACUGGAAGGAUUGUCCAGACAUGCUAUCUCCAAACCCCCUCCCAAUCUUAUCUAAUUGAGAUUUUCCUGGUACCAUUCUACUGAAACACUUUUGAAAGCCAUCAGUGAUCUCUAUGUUAUUAAAUCCAAUGGUCAAUUAUUGCUUCUCAUCUUAAAAGAUCAUCCUUUAAUGGACUUUCUUCAGUUGGUUUCCAAGACAAUACCGUCUUGGUUUCCUUUAUCUUCACUGGUUACUUCUUCUCAGUCUCCUCAGUGGACCCUUCUUUUCUACCCAGUUUCUUAAUUUUGGAUCACUUCAUGGAGUCCAAUCAUUGGUCCUCAUUUGUAUCCACACAUACUCCCUUGUUAUCCCAUCUGGUCCCAUGGCUUUAAAAUCAAUCUACCUGCCAAUGACUAACACAUUUAUAUUAUUACUCAAACUCCUUUAUGAACUCAAAACAUAUAUAUCUAUUGGCCUCUUCAACGUCUCUUGAAUUCCAUCCAAUAGCCAUCUCAAACUCAUUUUGUCUCUGAUCAAACUCCUUAUCCACCCUCUCCACCCAACCACUUCACUGGUAGUCUUUCUCAACUUAGUGGAUGGCAACUCCAUCUUUUCACAUGUUCAAAUAAAAACGCUUGGAGUUAUUCUUAAGUAUAUUUUCCCCUUUCACUUUACAUCCAAUACAUUAUGACAUCCUCCUAAUUCUGGUUGGGAGAAAAUUCUUCAUGACCUCUCCCAUUUCUGCAUGUUUUAGGAGCAGAGACAAUGACAGCCUUUGCUGCUAACUUUUCAAGGAUGUUUGUAAAGAGGACAGCUUGGAAGCUAGAGAUAUUGCUUUCUUCUGAAGUGGAGGGCAGGUUUGCUUACUGUUCAGUAUGAGAAAGAUAAUGUCUGUGUCUGGAGCAAACUUCAGACAGCUUUGCUUGCAGUACAUUAUAAAACAUCUAGGCUCCCUAAAUUCAGGGUUCCUUGGCUGCCGCACACAUCUGUUGCAUUUGCAACAUUAAUCUGCUUUUCUGUAUUUCCUCUGUAGGACUUGUGGAGCCAGGAGGACGGACACAAACACAAAAAUCUUUCUCCCUGUUUAGUGAGUAAUAAAUUAGUGUCUUUGACCCAGGAAGUUUGUGUCACCUGCCAGCAUUUACAAAACAGUGCCCCAAGUAGGGCAAACUUUUAGAUGCUUCACAGUUCUUGGCAGUGUAUUCUGGAUGGAGAAUGUCUUUAGUCUUUUAUCAAUGGAGAACCAGAAUGCUCCUUUUAAAACAAAAGCCAGAUUUCAUCAUUCCUUUGUGCAACUCCUGCAGUAACUCCCAAUCACAUUCAGAGGAAGAGAUAUAAAUCCCUAUAACAGCCCUCUAAGUUCUCCAUGACUUAGACUCCAGUCACCUCCUUGACAUCCCCCCAGUCACAUCCAUGACCUUACUCUCUUUGGCCACUCUGUUUCAGGCACUUGGCUGUCAUUUUUCUUUUGCCUGCAUUCUGUUUUCUCAAAAGACCUGGAGAAACCUCUAUUACCUUCUUUAAGUCUUCACUUAAAGCCACCUGCUCAAUGAGGCCUCCUUUGACCAUCCUAUUAAAAAUUACAACUGCUCCCCUAGUCUCUCUGCAAUGCUCCUGUGCCCCAUUGUCAUUCUCUGCCUGUUUUCAUUUUUUGUUGACAGGGUCUCACUCUGUCACCCAGGCUAGAGUGCAGUGGCUGAAUCACGACUCACUGCAGCCUUGACCUUUCAGGCUCAAACAAUCCUCCCACCUCAGUCUCCUGAGUAUCUGGGACUACAGGCAUGAAUCACUGUGCCCAGCUAAUUGUUUUAUUUUUAUUUUAUUGGAUGGGGGGAUCUUUGCCUCCCAUACUGGUCUCAUAAUCCUGUUUAUAGUUUUAUAACCUUCUGUGCCAAACUCUGAUGCCUUAAAAUAUCUAGCAGUGAGAAAUAUAAAACCCAGACAAAAAUGUAUGUUGACAAUUCUGAAGACAUUUCUAUUUUUAUUUUACAAUAAUUUUAAUGAUAGCUUGCUAAAGAUGUCCUUAAGUAACAUGAACAUGAAAAAGACUUUGGACUUAUUAACUUAAUCUAUGAGCACUCUUUUAUUUAUAAGCCAAUUUUGUAGUGACAACAUAUAACGUAAUACAUGUGCCUACACAUAAACACAUCUAGAUGCAUAUACACACAAAGACCCAAUAGCGUUUACCUGGGAACUAAAGCUAUAGCAAUACAAACUUACCAGUCUGCAAACAUGUCCACAUGGCUGAACUUGGUUAACCUUGAUAGGUAAUCCACUGAAGGCUGUGAAUCAAAAUUUUGGGUAAAGCCGUUUCUGUGGCAGUUUAAUCUUUAAAGGCCAAACUUCUCCAGACUCCAAAGAACACGGGUCAAACAGCACCACAGGAGAACACCACAUACUAACCUGGACCAACAGCAGCACAGAAGCCUGGAUACAUGGAAUUUCAAUCCGCUUUCUCAUUCAAUAGCAACUCCAAAUUCAAACUAUACUGGUGCCAAACAGUCUUACAAAAGAGUAUCAGUUUAUCAAAUUCUAAUUUCCCAUGACUAUGCAAACAGACACAUGCAAACAGUCACUAAAACACUAUGCAACUGCUUCAGGAUCAAACAGCCCCAAAAGUGUGCAAACUGAAAGAGUUGGGGUGCUUCAUCUCUCCAUUGGUUAAACUCAAUAAACCUGUAAGUGAAAAUUCCUUCAGAAUUUCUCAAAUGGAGAGGAGCUGAUCCCAUUGUCUGGUACCCACAAAAGACACUCACUUGCCUGGAUACACAUACCAUGAAAAGCCCCCAAGAGUGUCCAUACUGGAACAAUCAGGGUACUUCCCUCUCUUCAUCAGUUGGGCUUGUUCAACCUGCAAGUGGAAAUUCCUUUAAAAAUUUCUCAAAUUGAGAGGAGCACAUCCUUCUGUCUGAGCCCACAAAAGACAGUCACCUCUCUGGAUGUCAAAUUUCAAAGGCAGUUUUUCCAAGGCAAUCAGGAACAUGGAGAGAGAGAGAACUCAUCUCCAGCCAACAUUGGGUAAGUAGCUGCUUAGGAGAGCUUUGAGACUCCUGGUCCAUGGCAGGUGAGCCAAAGUGUUCCUGACUGGAGAACCAAAAUCUUACUGAAACACCAGGGGUGUGGUCUAGGUCCUGCAGCUCACCGCACAGAAAACCAAUCAAUAUCACCGCCAAGGAAGAAGACUGAAUUGGAUGCUGUAGCAGAGGCGAUGGGAGCUCAGUCUCAAAUCAAUCUCCCUGAGCAACUAAAAUUACGAGUUUACAUAGCAGGGAAGAAAUGUAACAAUGUGUAGCAAAACAGGAACUCAGGAGACCUAAGGAAGCAAUCAUAAUUUAUGAGAAGCCUGGUGUCCCAUUGUCUGAAUGGGCUCAUCUAAUGAGUUUCAAUUCUUUGAUGCUUUUUGAGGGAGGUAGGUGUCCUUUACUAAGGAAGAAAUUCAUAUAAAACAAAUGAAAGUUUCAAGCUUUAAGACCAGAGAGGUGAAUUUCUAUGUUUAUACAAAAAACUAUCUACGGGACUACAAGGGAGGUUUCAAUCCAGUGCCAGUGCUAGCUCCAGUCUGCCUCAAAUCUGCCUAUUCUUCUGGCAAACUCUGUGUCAGGACCUUGGCCAGGAGAAUAGCUUCCUUUCCCAUCUGUGGGCUCCUCUCCCAUCUGUAGGGCUGCUGAGCUUGGCAGUUUCUUAGACCACUUCAGUUCUGAGCAAACUUUCAGACCAGCUCUGGAGUCUCUCUAGAACUCAGCCCGUGCUUAUAAGGUGCAGUGGGAUAAGGCUGGAACUAGACGCCUUCCUCUCAGAAACACAAGCUAUCUGACAGAGUGGUUACUCUCUAGGACUCCAGCAGGGGAUUCUCCAAGUCCACUUCUCUGAUGUAUCUAGUCUGUGGAUCAAAACGGAAAGGUUUAGCCUUAUGUGUCAUGGCCUCAGACUCUCUGGGCCUAGCUCAGUUCUGAUAUCAGUCCCACCAUACUCAGUAUUAGUCAUAAGUGACUUCCCGAAACACUCAUGGCAGCUUGGAUUCUGGCACAGACAUGGGCUCUGUGAAUGGAAGCAAUGAAUUCUGGUUUCACAGGUGCUGAGGUUAUGCUACUCUGCUUUGGGCUUUUCAGGCUGUGUGAGAGACCUGUGAUUCUAGGCAUCUCCAGCUGGCUACCCCUGAAUGUUCUUCCGUCGUUUGGGAGUCUGCAGGUACAUCAUGAGGUCAUGGGGAGUAGACACCUAGGAGAGCCAUUUGCGCAUGGCCCCACUUUCAGAGAGGGUCCCAAAUUUGAGAUUUCAGCGUUAUCACCCAAUGGUACAGAAACUCAAGACAGAAUGGAGGAAACACUUUCACCAUAAAUUACACACUGCCAAGAGUCCACUCUGAAUUAAUUAAUGUUUUUUAAUUCUUGUUAUGUUCUUGUGAGUAGAACAAUAGUAUUGCAUGGCAUUUUUGUCAUCAUAAGCAUUCAUUUAUAAAAUAUACACAUUUUAAAA
ensembl:lncRNA